rnacentral:rRNA from 1 species
UACGUAGGGGGCAAGCGUUGUCCGGAAUCACUGGGCGUAAAGCGCGCGCAGGCGGCUAUCUACGUCCGGGGUGAAAGCCCAGAGCUCAACUCUGGGACUGCCCUGGAUACGGGAUCGCUUGAGGAUCGGAGAGGCAAGGGGAAUUCCACGUGUAGCGGUGAAAUGCGUAGAGAUGUGGAGGAACACCUGUGGCGAAGGCGCCUUGCUGGCCGAUUUCUGACGCUGAGGCGCGAAAGCGUGGGGAGCAAACAGG